AUUGAACGCUGGAGGCAGGCCUAACACAUGCAAGUCGAACGAGUGGCGGACGGGUGAGUAAUGUCUGGGAAACUGCCUGAGGGGGGGGGAUAACUCCUGGAAACGGUAGCUGAUAACGCAUACCAUCAGAUGUGCCCAGAUGGGAUUCGCUAGUAGGUGGGGUAACGGCUCACCUAGGCGACGAUCCCUAGCUGGUCUGAGAGGAUGACCAGCCACACUGGAACUGAGACACGGUCCAGACUCCUACGGGAGGCAGCAGUGGUGAAUAUUGCACAAUGGGCGCAAGCCUGAUGCAGCCAUGCCGCUUGUAUGAAGAAGUCCUUCGGGUUUUAAAGUACUUUCAGCGUGGAGGCGUUACCCGCAGAAGAAGCACCGGCUAACUCCGUGCCAGCAGCCGCGGUAAUUC
rnacentral:rRNA from 1 species